UUCCGAUAAGUCGUAAAGUGUAGUCAGG
rnacentral:piRNA from 1 species